rnacentral:rRNA from 1 species
AGAUUGGACGCUGGCGGCAGGCCUAACACAUGCAAGUCGAGCGGCAGCACGGGUACUUGUACCUGGUGGCGAGCGGCGACGGGUGAGGUAAUGCCUAGGAAUCUGCCUGAUAGUGGGGGAUAACGUUCGGAAACGGACGCUAAUACCGCAUACGUCCUACGGGAGAAAGUGGGGGAUCUUCGGACCUCACGCUAUCAGAUGAGCCUAGGUCGGAUUAGCUAGUUGGUAGGUAAAGGCCUACCAAGGCUACGAUCCGUAACUGGUCUGAGAGGACGACCAGCCACACUGGGACUGAGACACGGCCCAGACUCCUACGGAGGCAGCAGUGGGAAUUUGACAAUGGGGAACCUGAUCCAGCCA